rnacentral:rRNA from 1 species
CCUACGGGGGGCUGCAGUAACGAAUCUUCCCCAAUGCGCGAAAGCGUGAGGGAGCGACGCCGCGUGGAGGACCAAGUCCUUCGGGAUGUAAACUCCUGUCAGGGGUUACCAAGAUCUGAGGAGCCCCAGAGGAAGUGGCGGCUAACUCUGUGCCAGCAGCCGCGGUAAGACAGAGGCCACGAGCGUUAGGCGGAAUCACUGGGCUUAAAGCGUGUGUAGGCGGAGGCGUAAGUGUCUUGUGAAAUCCCACGGCUCAACCGUGGAACUGCUGGGCAUACUGCGUCUCUUGAGCCGGCCAGGGGUCACCGGAACAAGCGGUGGAGCGGUGAAAUGCGUAGAUAUCGCUUGGAACGCCGACGGUGAAAACAGGUGACUGGGGCCGCGCUGACGCUGAGACACGAAAGCCAGGGGAGCGAACGGGAUUAGAUACCCUGGUAGUC